rnacentral:snRNA from 1 species
GUGCUAGCUCCAGCAGGAACUCUCCUAAAAUUGGAAGGAUGCAGAGAUUAGCAUGGACCCUGAACAAGGAUGAAUGCAAAUGUGUGAAAUAUUUCAUAUUACA